UACGAAGGGGGCUAGCGUUGCUCGGAAUUACUGGGCGUAAAGGGCGCGUAGGCGGCUAUCUAAGUUGGGGGUGAAAUCCCGGGGCUCAACCUCGGAAUUGCCUUCAAAACUGGAUAUCUUGAGUUCGGGAGAGGUGAGUGGAACUCCGAGUGUAGGGGUGAAAUUCGUAGAUAUUCGGAAGAACACCAGUGGCGAAGGCGACUCACUGGCCCGAUACUGACGCUGAGGCGCGAAAGCUGGGGGAGCAAACGGG
rnacentral:rRNA from 1 species